rnacentral:rRNA from 1 species
GAUGAACGCUGGCGGCGUGCCUAAUACAUGCAAGUCGAGCGAACGGACGAGAAGCUCUCUUCUCUGAUGUUAGCGGCGGACGGGUGAGUAACACGUGGAUAACCUACCUAUAAGACUGGGAUAACUUCGGGAAACCGGAGCCAAUACCGGAUAAUAUUUUGAACCGCAUGGUUCAAAAGUGCAAGACGCCCUUGCUGUCACUUAUAGAUGGAUCCGCGCUGCAUUAGCUAGUUGGUAAGGUAACGGCUUACCAAGGCAACGAUGCAUAGCCGACCUGAUAGAGGAAUCGGCCACACGGAAACUGAGACACGUUCCAGACUCCUACGGAAGGAGGCAGUAGGGAAUCUUGCGCAAUGGGCGAAAGCCUAACCAGGCAUCGCGGGGUGGGUGAGGAGGGUCUUCGGAUCGUAAAACCCUGUUAUUAGGGAGGAAAAUAUGUGUAAGUAACUGUGCACAUCUUGACGGUACCUAAGCAGAAAGCCACGCCAAACUACGG